CUGGCACGCCGGCAGCACAAUGAUGAUGUCACUGAGUCUACUGCUGACCAGCCUGGGGCUCCUUGUUCACGGUUCAUCAGGGGAAAUCCAGCUGACUCAGUCUCCUGGAUCUCAGUCUGUUGUUCCAGGACAGACUGUCUCCAUCAGGUGUAAAGCCAGUUCUGGCAUUAGUAACGACCUUCACUGGUACCUACAGAAACCAGAAGAAUCUCCCAAACUUUUGAUUUAUUACGCUUCAAGUCGUCAGUCAGGGAUCUCAGAUCGUUUCAGUGGAAGUGGAUCUGGAAGUGACUUCACUCUGACCAUCAGAGGAGUUCUGACUGAAGAUGCAGGAGACUAUUAUUGUCAGCAGGGUUCAAGCCGCCCGUUCACACAGUGAAACAACGUCGUACAAAAACCUCCUCAGCUGGAGAGGAACUGAUCCACUCAACAGCUGCACAGGAACACAGACACUUUACGUUUGAGUGACACUUCAUAGUUUUUAAAGAUUCUUGUCAGGAAAUAUCGUUUUAAAUAGAAUAAAUGAUAAUCUAGUUGAAUAAGGGAAAAGAUCCGUUAAUACAAUUAACAUGAUCACUAUAUAUUAAUCUCUGAAAU